UAGGCCAUCCGGGUACUUUCCGUUUACUCCGUGAUUACUGCUAUGGUUUAGGACAUACUAAACUUCAUGUGAACACUAUAAUUAGUUGAGAGCAGAAGCAGGUCAUGCGCUGUUGGAAACGAGAUGAAACCCAUACUGGACAGUAAAGGCAAAGUCAGUUUGGAUAUAAAGGUACCCCAUGGGCAUAUGGGCAGUCUUUAGACUCUAGUCUGGCCACACACAUCAAUUAAAGGCACACAGCGCUUUUUUAAGGAGCGCGGCGGCGCGCACGAAGACGCGGCGAGGACGCAGAAGAACACGGUGGCGCGCAGCAUGCUGGAGGAGUAGUGAUGUGGCUGUCUGUCUGUGUGGAGACUCUUUUUCUCCAGGGCCUUGGCUUUAGGGGCGCGUCCUCGUCCCCGCACAGCCACAGAAACCCAUACGAUCAAAUUACAGACUUCAGAUUUCUCCUCCUUUGCCGGCCUCCCACGCUGCACUGCUCACUGCACGCUCAUGCAGCCUAAUUGCACAGCAGCUGGAAGGUUCUGUUUGUGUAAGGGGCAUGUCUUGAGACUGUCAUUAAAUAAAUCAGAAAGACAAUAUUA